UACGGGGGGGGCAAGCGUUGUUCGGAAUUACUGGGCGUAAAGGGCGCGUAGGCGGGUGCUCAAGUCCGUGGUGAAAUCCUCCGGCUCAACCGGAGAACUGCCUCGGAUACUGGGCGUCUCGAGUGUGGUAGGGGUAUGCGGAACUAUCGGUGGAGCGGUGAAAUGCGUUGAUAUCGAUAGGAACUCCGGUGGCGAAGGCGGCAUACUGGACCACCACUGACGCUGAUGCGCGAAAGCCAGGGGAGCAAACGGG
rnacentral:rRNA from 1 species